AUUGAACGCUGGCGGCAUGCCUUACACAUGCAAGUCGAACGGUAACAGGUCUUCGGAUGCUGACGAGUGGCGAACGGGUGAGUAAUACAUCGGAACGUGCCCGAUCGUGGGGGAUAACGGAGCGAAGGCUUUGCUAAUACCGCAUACGAUCUACGGAUGAAAGCAGGGGACCGCAAGGCCUUGCGCGGACGGAGCGGCCGAUGGCGGAUUAGGUAGUUGGUGGGAUAAAAGCUCACCAAGCCGACGAUCUGUAGCUGGUCUGAGAGGACGACCAGCCACACUGGGACUGAGACACGGCCCAGACUCCUACGGGAGGCAGCAGUGGGGAAUUUUGGACAAUGGGCGAAAGCCUGAUCCAGCCAUGCCGCGUGCAGGAUGAAGGCCUUCGGGUUGUAAACUGCUUUUGUACGGAACGAAAAGCCUCUUUCUAAUAAAGAGAGGUCAUGACGGUACCGUAAGAAUAAGCACCGGCUAACUACGUGCCAGCCGCCGCGGUAAUAC
rnacentral:rRNA from 1 species